rnacentral:rRNA from 1 species
AUUGAACGCUGGCGGCAUGCUUUACACAUGCAAGUCGAACGGUAACAGGCCGCAAGGUGCUGACGAGUGGCGCACGGGUGAGUAAUGCAUCGGAACGUGCCCAGUCGUGGGGGAUAACGCAGCGAAAGCUGCGCUAAUACCGCAUACGAUCUAUGGAUGAAAGCGGGGGUCCGUAAGGCCUCGCGCGAUUGGAGCGGCCGAUGUCAGAUUAGGUAGUUUGUGGGGCAAAGGCUCACCAAGCCAACGAUCUGUAGCUGGUCUGAGAGGACGACCAGCCACACUGGGACUGAGACACGGCCCAGACUCCUACGGGAGGCAGCAGUGGGGAAUUUUGGACAAUGGGCGCAAGCCUGAUCCAGCAAUGCCGCGUGCAGGAAGAAGGCCUUCGGGUUGUAAACUGCUUUUGUACGGAACGAAACGGCUCUGGUUAAUACCUGGGGCUAAUGACGGUACCGUAAGAAUAAGCACCGGCUAACUACGUGCCAGCCGCCGCCGUAACAC